rnacentral:lncRNA from 10 species
AAAAAAGAAAAGAAAAGAAAUUUUGAUCCACCCAUACAAGGGAAUGCUACACUUCCAUUCAAAGUCAAGGUGGUCACACCAUAGCAGGGAAAAAUCAGUUAUAAAAACAUUAAAUAUAGUAUGAUCCUAGCUCACAAGUACAUUAAUCCAAUUCAUUCACUUAUUAACUAUGUAAUGAAGAUGUGCUGUAUGCCAAGCACCAUUCUGGGUACUGGGAAUAUGGACAGGAACAAGCUCAGGGUGGGAAGUUGUUUAGGGAAAGACAGGUAAUACAUAUAUGGACUUAAGAAUACACAAGAUAAUUUCUGAGCAUGGCACACAAUGCCAUGAAGAAAGGCAUGCAAGAUGGACUAGUUUAGUGUGCGUGAAGAUGGAGGGACUAUCCAAGGAGGUGACAUUUCGGCCAUGACUUGCACGCUGAAAAAAAAAAAAUCCAGUCAUGAUUUCCAGAGUCAUGAAAUCCAGAGCAUUUCAGGCAAAGAGGCGAAGGCCUUGAGGGGAAAUGCCAUUGGUGUAUUAGGAGGGAAAAAGAAAGAGAAAUAAUGUGUGAGUAGAGAGAGAAGAGGUAGGAGAGGCAAGCAGGGCCAGAUCACACAGACUGAAAGUCAAGGUGAAGUGUUGAUAAGGAGUGUGGAUUUCCUUCCAAGUGCUGUAGAAAGCUACCGGGUUCUAUGUAGGCAAUCAUCAUACAGUUGACCUUCAAACAACACAGGUUUGAACUGCACAGGUCCACUUACAGGUGACUUUUCUUCCACCUCUGCCACCCCUGAGAGAGCAGGACCAACCACUCCUUUUCCUCCUCCUCAGCCUACUCGAGUUGAUGAUGACAAGGGUGAAGACCUUUAUGCUGAGUCACUUCUGCGUAGUGAACAACUCACCAGAGAGCAACAUCGACAGAUGACAACCAUCACCUGGAGCUCCAGUUUGAAGAGGCUUUUCCCUGAGCAAUCUCUUUUGAUUUUCACGAUAACCCUGUGAGUGAAGCCAGACCAUUGUCAUUAAGACCUCCAUUUUGGAGGUGAGGCAAUUGAGGCCGGGAGUUGCAAAGAGGCUGAGGCAGGAAAUGACAAAACUGGGACAGGAAUCAAGGUUCCACAACACUGGUCUAAGCUUCCUGAUUUUGUGGCCCAGCCAGGCUAAUGGCUGAGUCUGCAUCAAAUUCACCCAGAGACCCCAGGGCCCUAACAGGAAGUCUACAAGGUUACUCUCCUGCUUCGGGGAGGGCAGGGAUGGACCUAGAGCCCCCAGCUGCCGAUGACUGGAACAAAAAGAGGGUCUUUCCCACAUAGUAGAUGCUCAACAAACAUUUGUUGAAUUAAUGCAAUAGCUUGCUUUUGGGGGAAAUGCCACCUUGGGGAGGAUGGUUUUGCUGACUUUACAAUUUAGUAGCUGUGCAUCCUCCUCUGUCACUCCCCUCCACAAAGUUGGAGUGUAGGCUCUGGAGCCGGAAUGUCUGGGCUUGAAUCUGCCUCUACCACUGACCACCAGCUGUGACCUACCCUUUCCACCUCAGUUUUCUGAUCUGUAAAGUGGGAGUAAUAAUGAUGGUCUCCUUGGGUUACUGUUUGGAUUAAAUGAAUGAAUGAAGGCUUUGAAGAGAUGUUGG